rnacentral:rRNA from 1 species
GAUGAACGCUGGCGGCGUGCCUAAUACAUGCAAGUCGAGCGAACAGAUAAGGAGCUUGCUCCUUUGAAGUUAGCGGCGGACGGGUGAGUAACACGUGGGUAACCUACCUAUAAGACUGGGAUAACUUCGGGAAACCGGAGCUAAUACCGGAUAACAUUUAGAACCGCAUGGUUCUAAAGUGAAAGAUGGUUUUGCUAUCACUUAUAGAUGGACCCGCGCCGUAUUAGCUAGUUGGUAAGGUAACGGCUUACCAAGGCGACGAUACGUAGCCGACCUGAGAGGGUGAUCGGCCACCCUGGAGCUGAGACACGGUCCAGACUCCUACGGGAGGCAGCAGUAGGAAAUCUUCCGCAAUGGGCGAAAGCCUGACGGAGCAACGCCGCGUGAGUGAUGAAGGUUUUCGGCUCGUAAAACUCUGUUAUUAGGGAAGAACAAAUGUGUAAGUAACUGUGCACAUCUUGACGGUACCUAAUCAGAAGACCACGGCUAACUCCGU